rnacentral:rRNA from 1 species
GUGAAAGCAGAGCUUGCUCUGUGGAUCAGUGGCGAACGGGUGAGUAACACGUGAGCAAUCUGCCCCUGACUCUGGGAUAAGCGCUGGAAACGGCGUCUAAUACCGGAUACGAGCUGCGAAGGCAUCUUCAGCAGCUGGAAAGAAUUUCGGUCAGGGAUGAGCUCGCGGCCUAUCAGCUUGUUGGUGAGGUAACGGCUCACCAAGGCGUCGACGGGUAGCCGGCCUGAGAGGGUGACCGGCCACACUGGGACUGAGACACGGCCCAGACUCCUACGGGAGGCAGCAGUGGGGAAUAUUGCACAAUGGGCGAAAGCCUGAUGCAGCAACGCCGCGUGAGGGACGACGGCCUUCGGGUUGUAAACCUCUUUUAGCAGGAAAGAAGCGAAAGUGACGGUACCUGCAGAAAAAGCGCCGGCUAACUACGUGCCAGCAGCCGCGGUAAUACGUAGGGCGCAAGCGUUAUCCGGAAUUAUUGGGCGUAAAGAGCUCGUAGGCGGUCUGUCGCGUCUGCUGUGAAAACCCGAGGCUCAACCUCGGGCCUGCAGUGGGUACGGGCAGACUAGAGUGCGGUAGGGGAGAUUGGAAUUCCUGGUGUAGCGGUGGAAUGCGCAGAUAUCAGGAGGAACACCGAUGGCGAAGGCAGAUCUCUGGGCCGUAACUGACGCUGAGGAGCGAAAGGGUGGGGAGCAAACAGGCUUAGAUACCCUGGUAGUCCACCCCGUAAACGUUGGGAACUAGUUGUGGGGUCCAUUCCACGGAUUCCGUGACGCAGCUAACGCAUUAAGUUCCCCGCCUGGGGAGUACGGCCGCAAGGCUAAAACUCAAAGGAAUUGACGGGGACCCGCACAAGCGGCGGAGCAUGCGGAUUAAUUCGAUGCAACGCGAAGAACCUUACCAAGGCUUGACAUAUACGAGAACGGGCCAGAAAUGGUCAACUCUUUGGACACUCGUAAACAGGUGGUUGCAUGGUUGUCGUCAGCUCGUGUCGUGAGAUGUUUGGGUUAAGUCCCGCAACGAGCGCAACCCUUCGUUCUAUG